CAACUGGUUUCUCUUCAAAUCGAAUAAAUCUUUUGCCUUUUACUAAAGAUUUCCGUGGAGAGAAACAAAUCAGUUUAAAAUUAAUUUUUUGAAGCCUUGCCUUGGCAAGGCA
rnacentral:snRNA from 1 species